GAUGAAUGCUGGCGGCGUGCUUAACACAUGCAAGUCGAACGGAAAGGCUCCUGCUUGCAGGGGUACUCGAGUGGCGAACGGGUGAGUAACACGUGGGUGAUCUGCCCUGCACUUCGGGAUAAGCCUGGGAAACUGGGUCUAAUACCGGAUAGGACGAUGGUUUGGAUGCCAUUGUGGAAAGUUUUUCGGUGUGGGAUGAGCUCGCGGCCUAUCAGCUUGUUGGUGGGGUAAUGGCCUACCAAGGCGUCGACGGGUAGCCGGCCUGAGAGGGUGUACGGCCACAUUGGGACUGAGAUACGGCCCAGACUCCUACGGGAGGCAGCAGUGGGGAAUAUUGCACAAUGGGCGCAAGCCUGAUGCAGCGACGCCGCGUGGGGGAUGACGGCCUUCGGGUUGUAAACUCCUUUCGCUAGGGACGAAGCGCAAGUGACGGUACCUGGAGAAGAAGCACCGGCUAACUACGU
rnacentral:rRNA from 1 species